AACGGAGAACAAAUCCCGAUGUACAGGAAGGAGGCAUCUUCUUUCUGUGAAACAUCCUUUAGGGGAUGGGGCGCGGAUGGACCUGCGGUGCAUUAGUUUGUUGGCGGGGUAAAGGCCCACCAAGACGAUGAUGCAUAGCCGGCCUGAGAGGGCGGACGGCCACAUUGGGACUGAGACACGGCCCAGACUCCUGCGGGAGGCAGCAGUAGGGAAUUUUCGUCAAUGGGCGCAAGCCUGAACGAGCGAUGCCGCGUGAGUGAAGAAGGCCUUCGGGUCGUAAAGCUCUGUUGCGGGGGAAAAAAGGCAGCAUCAGGAAAUGGGUGCUGACUGAUGGUGCCCCGCCAGAAAGUCACGGCUAACUACGUGCCAGCAGCCGCGGUAAUACGUAGGUGGCGAGCGUUAUCCGGAAUGAUUGGGCGUAAAGGGUGCGCAGGCGGUCCUGCAAGUCUGGAGUGAAACGCAUGAGCUCAACUCAUGCAUGGCUUUGGAAACUGGAGGACUGGAGAGCAGGAGAGGGCGGUGGAACUCCAUGUGUAGCGGUAAAAUGCGUAGAUAUAUGGAAGAACACCAGUGGCGAAGGCGGCCGCCUGGCCUGUUUGCUGACGCUGAGGCACGAAAGCGUGGGGAGCAAAUA
rnacentral:rRNA from 1 species